rnacentral:rRNA from 1 species
UACGAAGGGGGCUAGCGUUACUCGGAAUUACUGGGCGUAAAGGGCGCGUAGGCGGCGCUCCAAGUUAGGCGUGAAAGUCCUGGGCUCAACCUGGGAACUGCGCUUGAUACUGGAGUGCUUGAGGAUGGAAGAGGGUCGUGGAAUUCCCAGUGUAGAGGCGAAAUUCGUAGAUAUUGGGAAGAACACCGGUGGCGAAGGCGGCGACCUGGUCCAUUACUGACGCUGAGGCGCGACAGCGUGGGGAGCAAACAGG